UUGGAGUGCAGUUCUCAACUGGAACACUGAAGAAUUUCUAUAAUGGAGAGCUGGUCUACUUCAGGAGUCUGGUGUGGUUAUUUCAGUCCAUAUAGCAACAGUAUGGCAUGUUCAGGCUUCACUUAUUUGCUUGCCUCCGGAACUUGAGACCAGAGCAUGCUGCAGUCUUUUUCAAAGGAAAAUUUUGGUUUUGAGGAUAGCUGCUGGUAUUGGAGGAAGAUCUGGGAUUUGAGUAGCUAACUGCAGGGGUGAGAUCGCAAAGGUCCUUGGUGUGGCUUCUGCUGGCUGGAAGGUUUUCUAUCCUGCGAGAAAUUGGAUUGUCUGCUUUCUGUUGGACAGGAGGAAAAGUUUGCAUUGUCCUGCUGGCUGGAAGGUUUUCUGUCCUGCGAGAAAUAAGUUUGCACUGUCCUGUUCUGCCCAGCUGGGCCACAAGCAUGCAGAGUAACAACCAUUUGAUGAGAAACUAGUUUGCAACUUCAAUUUUCUUGUCAAUUGGACAUUGGAUACAUUUAUUGCUGUACCCUGUUCUUGACAGUUACUACAUUAUUUUGUCAUACUGGAUGGCCGCCUCUCUGAAUUUCUGUAAAAUUUAAAAAACAGACCGUUUAUCAAAGGGAUUUUAAACAUUACCAUUAGCUAAGCAGGUGUGCCCACAGCUGAGCUUUUCCAAAACUGGCCAAUCACAAGUGUGGAAAAGGAGGCAUAUUUAAGCUCCACAGGUGGUAAUACUUGCUAGAACCGGUUGUAGCUUCCUUCUGCAGUCAGCAUGGCUGGUGUAGGUGUGAAGCACUCUAGAGCGCAACACUGGGGCAUCCAGGAGUCCAAAGUUAUGGUUUGGCUCCAUGAGGAAAGACUCCUGCAGGGCCAGUACCAAGGGUACCCAAUAUAAAACGAGGCCUGGAACAGUCUUGCCUGUGAUAUCCAGUGUCACUGGUGUUCCUCGACUGGUGAGCAGGUCAGGCACCAUGCUUCUGACCUGAAGCAGUGUAGGGGGGUGAAGUGGACCCGGUGGAUCCAGGAAUCCUGUACGAUGCCUAAUGCCCCAGUACUGAGUAAGUAGCCAUUGUAUUAAGUAGUUA